rnacentral:rRNA from 1 species
CCUACGGGAGGCAGCAGUGAGGAAUAUUGGACAAUGGGCGCAAGCCUGAUCCAGCCAUGCCGCGUGCAGGAAGACGGUCCUAUGGAUUGUAAACUGCUUUUAUACAGGAAGAAGCACCUCUACGUGUAGAGACUUGACGGUACUGUAUGAAUAAGCAUCGGCUAACUCCGUGCCAGCAGCCGCGGUAAUACGGAGGAUGCAAGCGUUAUCCGGAAUCAUUGGGUUUAAAGGGUCCGUAGGCGGUUUAAUAAGUCAGUGGUGAAAGCCCAUCGCUCAACGAUGGAACGGCCAUUGAUACUGUUAAACUUGAAUUAUUAGGAAGUAACUAGAAUAUGUAGUGUAGCGGUGAAAUGCUUAGAGAUUACAUGGAAUACCAAUUGCGAAGGCAGGUUACUACUAAUAUAUUGACGCUGAUGGACGAAAGCGUGGGGAGCGAACAGGAUUAGAUACCCUGGUAGUCCACGCCGUAAACGAUGGAUACUAGCUGUUCGGAGCAAUCUGNGUGNGUAGAGAAGUAGAGUAAGUAGUACCGUAACCGUCGGGUAGGUUACGUUCGUCGAAGAAGUAGUUAACGUUAAAGGUUAAGUUAGACGGACGUUGAGACGUUAGCCGACGGACGACGACGAGGGAGGAGGAG